rnacentral:rRNA from 1 species
AUUGAACGCUGGCGGCAGGCCUAACACAUGCAAGUCGAGCGGAUGAGUGGAGCUUGCUCCAUGAUUCAGCGGCGGACGGGUGAGUAAUGCCUAGGAAUCUGCCUGGUAGUGGGGGACAACGUUUCGAAAGGAACGCUAAUACCGCAUACGUCCUACGGGAGAAAGCAGGGGACCUUCGGGCCUUGCGCUAUCAGAUGAGCCUAGGUCGGAUUAGCUAGUAGGUGAGGUAAAGGCUCACCUAGGCGACGAUCCGUAACUGGUCUGAGAGGAUGAUCAGUCACACUGGAACUGAGACACGGUCCAGACUCCUACGGGAGGCAGCAGUGGGGAAUAUUGGACAAUGGGCGAAAGCCUGAUCCAGCCAUGCCGCGUGUGUGAAGAAGGUCUUCGGAUUGUAAAGCACUUUAAGUUGGGAGGAAGGGCAGUAAGCUAAUACCUUGCUGUUUUGACGUUACCAACAGAAUAAGCACCGGCUAACUUCGUGCCAGCAGCCGCCGUAAGAC